UCCUCUUCUCUGCAUCUCUAAAUCUAGGGUUUCUUUUCAGCAAAAUUUGUAGAACCGAUCCAUUAUCAGCUGUGUUUCUCUUAUAGAUUCUCACCUAUCAUUUCAAUUUCAAAAUCAAAAGAAGAAGAGAAGGCGGUGUUGCACCUCUCUUUCUCAUUUUCUCUUCUCUACCUCACGCAUCUCAAUCUCAGAGGUUGAAGGAGGAAAUUGAGAGGCUUUUACUUGAGGAGGCUGGCUUUCAGAAUUGAGUCAAUAUUCCAGAGGAUGCACCAGGAAAGAUUUCUUCAAAAUCUUUUCCAAGGAUCCUAACCUUUUAAAUAGAUUCUCUGGAUUCAAUGGCAUAGAGUAAACAACCAAGUGGUGGUGAUUAGCAAGAAGACGUAUAUCAAAAGGCAUGCCGAGGAAGCAAAAAUUCAAAAGGUGCAGUUCACUAGGUAUCAAAACAAGUUGCUCUAGCUUUUCUCAAGCGUACUCUUAGAAGAUGUAAAAGAUAUGAAGAAGCUGGCAUUAUUUGUUUUAAUGAACCUACCCUACAAAAUAUCUUGUUCGCACCCCCUUCUACUGAGAAUGAUGCACAACCUACAAACUGCAGUUCUUUUCCAAAAUGCAGUUUAUUAUUUUAUUUUUUUAAGAAAUGGGGUGACUCAGGCUAAUCCUAAUUAACUCUCUUUUUUUGUGUAUUUAUUAACUCUUUCCUUUUAUCUGAGAAAAAAAAGAAAGCAAAAAGAUCAAAUUGUGUAUAGCUGUCUGGAUGACUCAGGCUAAUUCUAAUCUUAUGUAAUUGCCGAAUAUGUAUGGAGUUUCAUCCAUUUUUUAAUGAUAA